AUUGGACUAUUCUGUUUAGUGAUUUCCAAGCAAUCACCAGCUGAAUUUAAUAAUAUACUAUUCCAUUGAGUUUCUUUCCACAAAUACUAACAUAUCCUUUGAUAUGCUGUGAUAAUUUCUUGCAUUUGAUAUGCUGCAUAUUAUCUUUAUUGAAUUUUUAAAAUUUUGUGAUAAUUCUUUGCAUAUGAUACACUGCAUAUGAUACUUCCUUGCAUAUGAUAUGCUGCUUCUGAUAAUUCCUUGCAUUUUGAGAU
rnacentral:misc_RNA from 1 species